CCUACGGGUGGCAGCAGUGAGGAAUAUUGCGCAAUGGGGGAAACCCUGACGCAGCAACGCCGCGUGAGUGAUGAAGGCCUUCGGGUCGUAAAGCUCUGUCAAGUGGGAAGAAACAAUAAUAUGCUAAUAUCAUAUUGUCUUGACGGUACCACUGGAGGAAGCACCGGCUAACUCCGUGCCAGCAGCCGCGGUAAUACGGAGGGUGCAAGCGUUAUUCGGAAUCAUUGGGCGUAAAGGGCGCGUAGGCGGCUUUGUAAGUCAGAUGUGAAAGCCCGGGGCUUAACCCCGGAAGUGCAUUUGAAACUACAAGGCUUGAGUAUGGGAGAGGAGAGCGGAAUUCCUGGUGUAGAGGUGAAAUUCGUAGAUAUCAGGAGGAACACCGGUGGCGAAGGCGGAUCUCUGGACCAAUACUGACGCUGAGGCGCGAAGGCGUGGGGAUCAAACAGGAUUAGAUACCCUUGUAGUC
rnacentral:rRNA from 1 species